UACGAAGGGGGCUAGCGUUGUUCGGAAUUACUGGGCGUAAAGGGCGCGUAGGCGGCCUACUAAGUCGAACGUGAAACCCUCCGGGCUUAACCCGGGAACUGCGUCCGAUACUGGAAGGCUUGAAUCCGGGAGAGGGAUGCGGAAUUCCAGGUGUAGCGGUGAAAUGCGUAGAUAUCUGGAGGAACACCGGUGGCGAAGGCGGCAUCCUGGACCGGCAUUGACGCUGAGGCGCGAAAGCCAGGGGAGCAAAGCGGG
rnacentral:rRNA from 1 species